ACCUGGUUGAUUCUGCCAGUAGUCAUAUGCUUGUCUCAAAGAUUAAGCCAUGCAUGUCUAAGUAUACGCAAAUUAUACUGUGAAACUGCGAAUGGCUCAUUAAAUCAGUUAUAGUUUAUUUGAUGUUUCUUGCUACAUGGAUAACUGUGGUAAUUCUAGAGCUAAUACAUGCGUAAAAAGCCCCGACUUCGGAAGGGGUGUAUUUAUUAGAUAAAAACCAUCCUCCUCGGAGUUUGGCGAUUCAUAAUAACUUCUCGAAUCGCACGGCCUUGUGCUGGCGAUGCUUCAUUCAAAUAUCUGCCCUAUCAACUGUCGAUGGUAGGAUAGAGGCCUACCAUGGUUGCAACGGGUAACGGGGAAUAAGGGUUCGAUUCCGGAGAGGGAGCCUGAGAAACGGCUACCACAUCCAAGGAAGGCAGCAGGCGCGCAAAUUACCCAAUCCCGACACGGGGAGGUAGUGACAAUAAAUAACAAUGCAGGGCCCUUUUGGGUCUUGUAAUUGGAAUGAGUACAAUUUAAAUCCCUUAACGAGGAACGAUUGGAGGGCAAGUCUGGUGCCAGCAGCCGCGGUAAUUCCAGCUCCAAUAGCGUAUAUUAAAGUUCCCUCCGGGGCCUAAGUAUAAUUUUUGUCAGUUUAUUCACUUAGGAGGACUAAGGUCCAGAAGCGUUUUCACUUUAUCUUAAAAUCUAACAAACGCAGAAACUUCUCUAUUCCUUUUUAGGAGUCCUUGAAGCGGUCCGGGGGGCUCAGUACGGGGUGAUACCCAGAAGCCAAAGGAGAAAAAACUGUCUUUUAAAUCACGGAGGGAUUCUUUAGCUUGGGCCUUAAACCCCCAAGCUUCAUAAUGCCUCCAAAAAAUGCCAACGCGACGCAAGUCGCUCCUGAAGGAGCUCCAGUGGAGACAACCUCGGACAGACGGUUUCUAAGCCGGAGAGCC